rnacentral:tRNA from 1 species
GCCGGGAUGGCUCAGUGGUAGAGCGAGUUAUUGGUAAUAACUAGGUCGAGGGUUCAAUUCCCUCUCCCGGCU